GUACCUCCUGUAACACAUACUUUAUCUUUAUCUGCUUCCAUCAAAAGCCUUCGAGGAAGAAAGCAACGGCACAAAUUGCUCUCUGUCCUUUUAAUUUGCUCUCGGAGAUUUUUUUCUUUCACCGAAGAGAUAUCAAUUUCAAAGGCUCACGGAGAUGGAGCCAUUGAAACGCAAGGAAUGAUUGAUGAGUGUGGCACUAAUGAAAUGAUUUGCAUAAGUUCAAC
rnacentral:misc_RNA from 1 species